AGCUGGUACCUGGGAUCGGGCAGGACGGUCCUCUUGCUGGCGCGGGCGGCCGGAGUCGCCUUGCUCUUCUCCAUGGCCAUCAGGUAACUGGCAUCUGCCAGCACAGCCUCCGGGUCCGCCACGUUGGCGAGUUUUGGCGGCGGCGGCGGUUACUCGGACCCGGAUGGGACGCGCUGCCGCCACCGCCGCCGCCGCCGCCAGCUGAGCCCCGACCUGGUGGGACUGGGGCAGCCCCAGGGCAGCCCCUGCUCGGCGCGCCCCACCAGCGCCCUGCAAGCGCCGCAGGCUGUAGCCCGCCGGGGUCGCAGUGCGCCUUCCGCUCCGCCGCCUCGCGCGCCGCCCCCCAGCUCAUUCCGCGAGGGUCUGCGGGGAGCUCGCGGCCCGACGGUCGGUGCACCUCAGCGCACAGUCCCAGCGGCCAGGCUUGUCCCGCGCCUCUCGACCAAGUCUCUACGGUAAUGAUGAAGCCCCUGCUCUGGUCCAAGCUACCUGUGAACAGCGCCCAGCGGGCCGGGCCCCCAACCUCGCUCCUGAACGUACCCGCAAGCCCGCCGUGAGAAUUCAGCGAAGAGUAAAGGCUGGAGAAAGUUGCGUGUCUCAGGCUAAGCAGAGCAAAGUGGGGUGAGGGCUUCGCCGCUAGGAACAGAGAUGCCCUUAGGGAGCCCCCUGAUGGAAGAGCUCUCUGCUUAAGAAGGUCAGCACGCCCUUACACUCAGUUUUACCACGUUUUUCAAGAUCCAAGGCACAAUAGGCAUAAAGUUAUCCUGAAAAGGACAAGAGGAGUGUCAGAAGUAGGAAUGGCAGUCGAAGGAGCUU
rnacentral:lncRNA from 1 species